GGACUCUGUCUUCUUUGACUUGGAAAUCUUCUCUGGUUCAUUUCCUCUGUUGAGUCCAUCAAGGUCAGAAAUUGAAGUCUAAUUCUAAUCGAAAACAACACUGACACUGUUUUUUCAUGUUUAAUACUGUAAAGCUGUUUGGUUUAAAAAUAUAUAUUGUAUAAAGUGCUAUAUAAAUAAACAUGACGUGACUUUGUGCCGAACUGCAGAGCUCAUGCAAACGUAUCCAUGACUAUGUUCAGAUACUUUCUUAACUGCUGUUUUCUCACUGCUGUCAUUUUGUUGUUUAUUUUGUUAUUGAGAGUAAAGCGCAGAGCACAUAUUAGUGGUUCUUAGACUUUGCCAAACAAAUUCAUUACGAAAAAGCCAUGUUUUUUCCCAUCUUAUUGUGUUAUCUCUGUGUUCUUAGAGAUAGAGAUCCUGUUUGUUCCCCUUUCAAAGCAUCUAUCCUUUUAGCUGGUCAACUACAGUGGGACAAAUGAAGGGCAUCCAGUGGUCUGGCAGAGCUUUGAUCAGCACUGUUUCUUCCAGGAACAAUAUUGCUAUCUUGCUGUGGAUUCCUCAUAUUGAGUCCGUACUGCAACCCAUCCAACCAGAGAUUGACUCUUGAUGUUGAAUCAUGAUAUGUCAAAGAGUAUUGAUUCAGACACAUACAGCAAUUCCCCCUCCGCACUUCAAUCGCUGCCCGGGGGGCAAAAACAGAAGGAGACUCGUGAAGUAUAUCUUGACCUACUGCCAUCUCUUCACAAGGUUUCUGCUUAACCCUAAGGUCAUGCCCCUCCACUCCACAACACAAUAUUUAUGUUUAUCCAGCACAAACCCACGAGAGACUCUCCUCAACACAUAUCUGCAUGUGUUACUUCAUUUGAAGUUAGAAUGGCAGUACAAAUCUCUAAGCAUGAGGAAAAACCAGAUGAGUUGUGUACAAAUACAUCCUUGACCCCUGACCUUGAGAUGGUCACUCUCAUAAUUAACUCCUCUUGUCUUUUGAUAUUCAAAUCCCAUCC
rnacentral:lncRNA from 1 species